CCUACGGGAGGCAGCAGUGAGGAAUAUUGGUCAAUGGUCGGGAGACUGAACCAGCCAAGCCGCGUGAGGGAUGAAGGUACAGAGUAUCGUAAACCUCUUUUGUCAGGGAACAAAGGCGGGGACGUGUCCCCGGAUGAGCGUACCUGUAGAAAAAGCAUCGGCUAACUCCGUGCCAGCAGCCGCGGUAAUACGGAGGAUGCGAGCGUUAUCCGGAUUUAUUGGGUUUAAGGGGUGCGCAGGCGGUCUGUAAAGUCAGCGGUAAAAGCCCGGGGCUCAACCCCGGCCCGCGGGUGAAACUGGCAGUCUGGAGUUGGAGAGAAGUAUGCGGAAUGCGUGGUGUAGCGGUGAAAUGCAUAGAUAUCGCGCAGAACUCCGAUUGCGAAGGCAGCAUGCCGGCUCCAAACUGACGCUGAGGCACGAAAGCGUGGGUAUCGAACAGGAUUAGAUACCCGGGUAGUC
rnacentral:rRNA from 1 species